AAUGGCAGCCAGGUGGUCGGACCGGUCGUUGCCUGCACUUUUGCAGAAAACACCCUGCCGUUUUGUCUAAUUAACCCGCGCUAUAGGGGCACCUGAAUUAAAUCUGUCGCAAAUCCCCUUCGCGUCCGCUCAUUGCUUCUGUGUUCAGUUCCCCAUCUCCAGCUCCAUGCUCCUAGCUCGCCGCCGCCAGCAAGCUCACCGCCGGCGUCAAGCUUUCAGUCGCAGUCUAGCUCGCCCUCAUGGUCUCCUGGGAUGAUCUCUCAAGCUCCUCGUUUGACGGUGACUCCGUCACCAGUUAGGCACCCGCCACCAUUUUCUGCUCACAAUGGAGAGGCCUUGCUACAAAAUUUGCUUCUAGAUGUGAGCACCUAGCUGUGUGUGAGAAGCUGCUGGCAUUUUCUUCAGUGGAUAGUGGUAGGAGGUUCUUAACUUGUGCACAGAAGGAAGCACCUAAAUGCAACUAUGUUGAGUGGGUUGACCCUGACUGGCCUGUCCCUUUGAAGAUGAGCCUAGCUAGGAUUUGGGACAUGUAUGAGGAUGAGAACAAGCUGAGGCUGAGGCAAAAUGUAGUUAAUGCAGAAGAAAAUUUCAAGAUCAUGGAAGAGAAGGAGAAGAUGGAAAAAGAGUUGAGGUUUUUUAAGGUUGAUUUUGUAAAAAUGGUGCCUGACAAAGAGAAGGCAUUGGCCCAACUAGGCAACACACAUCUUGCUCUGACAGACCUGAAGCAAGAACUUGAGAAGAAGAAUUUUUUUGACAAAUCCGUCACAAAUAUUCAUCAGGUUGUGAGGGCCAAGGCAGAGAAAGAGAGGGGCCUAAUGCAGCAGGAGAGGGAAAAAUUAAUGGAAGAGAGGGACAGUUUGGUGUUGCAGAGAGAUCAGCUAAAGUAAGAUAAAAAGAAGUUGGAGUAUACGAUGGGUGAUAUCUUCAAGCAUAAGGAGGAAACCAAGGGCAAGAAAAGGAAGCUAAAGGAGAUGCUGGAUGAAUUUGAGUGAUGAUGUGCACUGUUGUUGUAAUGGUCCCAUAAUUUGUAGUAGCUCUAAUUUGAUGAACUGGCAGAGAUAUUUAAGUGAUUUGUGUGAACUGGCUGAAGUACUUUCUGUAAUGCAGUAUGUGUGAACUUGAGUAAUGUGUGUAAUGCAGCAUGUGUGAACUCUAGUAACUGGAAGUUCUAAAAUUUAAAUGAUU